rnacentral:rRNA from 1 species
CAGUCGCCGCGGUAAAACGGAGGGGGCUAGCGUUGUUCGGAAUUACUGGGCGUAAAGCGCACGUAGGCGGCUUGGUAAGUUAGAGGUGAAAGCCUGGAGCUCAACUCCAGAAUUGCCUUUAAGACUGCCGAGCUAGCAGGUGAGAGAGGUAAGUGGAAUUCCGAGUGUAGAGGUGAAAUUCGUAGAUAUUCGGAAGAACACCAGCGGCGAAGGCGGCUUACUGGCUCAUACUGGACGCUGAGGUGCGAAAGCGUGGGGAGCAAACAGGAUUAGAUACCCGAGUAGUCCCUGUCUCUUAUAA